AGCUUUGCGCAGUGGCAGUAUCGUAGCCAAUGAGGUUUAUCCGAGGUGCAAUUAUUGCUAAUUGAAAACUUUUCCCAAGAAAUCAUCGCUAAUCCAACUUCAUGAAGCUUUCCUCUAGUUUUUCUUUGAAGAGUUUUAUAGUU